ACGGGAGGCAGCAGUGAGGAAUAUUGGUCAAUGGGCGCGAGCCUGAACCAGCCAAGUAGCGUGAAGGAUGACGGCCCUAUGGGUUGUAAACUUCUUUUGUCGGGGAAUAAACCGCACCACGUGUGGUGCGUUGCAGGUACCCGGUGAAUAAGGACCGGCUAAUUCCGUGCCAGCAGCCGCGGUAAUACGGAAGGUCCGAGCGUUAUCCGGAUUUAUUGGGUUUAAAGGGAGCGUAGGCGGGCCGGUAAGUCAGCCGUUAAAUCGCGGGGCUCAACCCCGCUCAGCGGUUGAAACUGCCGUUCUUGAGUGCGCAAGAGGAAGGUGGAAUUCGUGGUGUAGCGGUGAAAUGCUUAGAUAUCACGAAGAACUCCGAUUGCGAAGGCAGCCUUCUGGGGCGCAACUGACGCUGAUGCUCGAAGGUGCGGGAAUCAAACAGGAUUAGAUACCCUGGUA
rnacentral:rRNA from 1 species